UACGUAGGUGGCAAGCGUUAUCCGGAUUUACUGGGUGUAAAGGGCGAGUAGGCGGGAUUGCAAGUCAGAUGUGAAAACUAUGGGCUCAACCGAUAGAGUGCAUUUGAAACUGCAGUUCUUGAGUGAAGUAGAGGUAGGCGGAAUUCCCGGUGUAGCGGUGAAAUGCGUAGAGAUCGGGAGGAACACCAGUGGCGAAGGCGGCCUACUGGGCUUUAACUGACGCUGAGGCACGAAAGCGUGGGUAUCGAACAGG
rnacentral:rRNA from 1 species